rnacentral:rRNA from 1 species
AUUGAACGCUGGCGGCAGGCCUAACACAUGCACGUCGAACGAGUGGCGGACGGGUGAGUAAUGUCUGGGCAACUGCCUGAUGGAGGGGGAUAACUACUGGAACCGGUAGCUAAUACCGCAUACCAUCGGAUGUGCCCAGAUGGGAUUCGCUCGUAGGUGGGGUAACGGCUCACCUAGGCGACGAUCCCUAGCUGGUCUGAGAGGAUGACCAGCCACACUGUAACGGAGACACGGUCCAGAAUCCUACGGGAGGCAGCAGUGGGAAAUAUUGGACAAGGGGCGGAAGCCUGAUGCAGCCAUGCGGCGUGUAUGAAGAAGGCCUUCGGGGUGUAAAGUACUUUCAGCGGGGAGGCGUUACCCGCAGAAGAAGCACCGGCUAACUCCGUGCCAGCAGCCGCGGUAAUUC